rnacentral:rRNA from 1 species
UUGAUGACUCUCGGCAACGGAUAUCUAGGCCCUCGCAUCGAUGAAGAACGUAGCGAAAUGCGAUACUUGGUGUGAAUUGCAGAAUCCCGUGAACCAUCGAGUUUUUGAACGCAAGUUGCGCCCGGAGCUUCGGCCGAGGGCACGCCUGCUUGGGCGUCACGC